rnacentral:rRNA from 1 species
CUACGGGGCGCUCCAGCUAAGAAUCUUCCGCAAUGGGCGAAAGCCUGACGGAGCGACGCCGCGUGAAUGAUGAAGGCCGGAAGGUUGUAAAAUUCUUUUCCUGGGGAAGAAUAAUGUUCGGAGGUAAUGCCGGGCAGAUGACAUUAACCAGGGAAUAAGCCACGGCUAAUUACGUGCCAGCAGCCGCGGUAACACGUAAGUGGCGAGCGUUGUUCGGAAUUAUUGGGCGUAAAGGGCGUGUAGGCGGUUUAGCAAGCCUGGUGUGAAAUACUCCAGCUCAACUGGAGGGACGCGCUGGGAACUGUUAGACUAGAGUAAUGGAGGGGGAGUUGGAAUUCCAGGUGUAGGGGUGAAAUCUGUAGAUAUCUGGAAGAACACCGGUGGCGAAGGCGAACUCCUGGUCAGAUACUGACGCUGAGGUGCGAAAGCGUGGGGAGCAAACAGGAUUAGAUACCCCCGUAGUC